UACACUCCUACGGGAGGCAGCAGUGGGGAAUAUUGCACAAUGGGCGCAAGCCUGAUGCAGCCAUGCCGCGUGUAUGAAGAAGGCCUUCGGGUUGUAAAGUACUUUCAGCGGGGAGGAAGGCGAUAAGGUUAAUAACCUUGUUGAUUGACGUUACCCGCAGAAGAAGCACCGGCUAACUCCGUGCCAGCAGCCGCGGUAAUACGGAGGGUGCAAGCGUUAAUCGGAAUUACUGGGCGUAAAGCGCACGCAGGCGGUCUGUCAAGUCGGAUGUGAAAUCCCCGGGCUCAACCUGGGAACUGCAUUCGAAACUGGCAGGCUAGAGUCUUGUAGAGGGGGGUAGAAUUCCAGGUGUAGCGGUGAAAUGCGUAGAGAUCUGGAGGAAUACCGGUGGCGAAGGCGGCCCCCUGGACAAAGACUGACGCUCAGGUGCGAAAGCGUGGGGAGCAAACAGGAUUAGAUACCCCAGUAGUCCCAUG
rnacentral:rRNA from 1 species